rnacentral:rRNA from 1 species
AGAGUUUGAUCCUGGCUCAGAACGAACGCUGGCGGCGUGCCUAACACAUGCAAGUCGAACGUGAUCCGCCCUUCGGGGUGGUGAAAGUGGCGCACGGGUGAGUAACGCGUGGAUAAUCUGCCCGAGGAUUUGGGAUAACAUCUCGAAAGGGGUGCUAAUACCGAAUAAGCCCACGGGGUCUACGGAUCUUGCGGGAAAAGGGGGGGACCUUCGGGCCUCCUGUCCUUGGAUGAGUCUGCGUACCAUUAGCUAGUUGGUGGGGUAAUGGCCUACCAAGGCGACGAUGGUUAGCUGGUCUGAGAGGAUGAUCAGCCACACUGGAACUGAGACACGGUCCAGACUCCUACGGGAGGCAGCAGUGGGGAAUUUUGCGCAAUGGGGGAAACCCUGACGCAGCAACGCCGCGUGGGUGAUGAAGGCCUUCGGGUCGUAAAGCUCUGUCUGGAGGGAAGAAAUGAUUGGGAGCUAAUACCUCUUGAUCUUGACGGUACCUCUGAAGGAAGCACCGGCUAACUCCGUGCCAGCAGCCGCGGUAAUACGGAGGGUGCAAGCGUUGUUCGGAAUUAUUGGGCGUAAAGCGCGUGUAGGCGGUCUUUUAAGUCUGAUGUGAAAGCCCCGGGCUCAACCUGGGAAGUGCAUUGGAAACUGGGAGGCUUGAGUACGGGAGAGGAGAGUGGAAUUCCUAGUGUAGGAGUGAAAUCCGUAGAUAUUAGGAGGAACACCGGUGGCGAAGGCGGCUCUCUGGACCGAUACUGACGCUGAACGCGAAAGCGUGGGUAGCAAACAGGAUUAGAUACCCU